rnacentral:rRNA from 1 species
GACGAACGCUGGCGGCGUGCUUAACACAUGCAAGUCGAACGGAGUGGCGAACGGGUGAGUAACACGUGGGUGAUCUGCCUUGCACCUCGGGAUAAGCUUGGGAAACUGGGUCUAAUACCGGAUAGUGCAAGAUGAGCUCGCGGCCUAUCAGCUUGUUGGUGGGGUAAUGGCCUGCCAAGGCGUCGAUGGGUGGCCGGGCUGAGAGGGUGUACGGGCACAUUGGGGAUAGGAUACGGUCCAGACUCCUACGGGGGGCAGCGGUGGGGAAUAGUGCGCAAUGGGCGGAAGCCUGAUGCAGCGGCGCCGAGUGGGGGAUGAAGGCCUUCGGGUUGUAAACUCCUUACGACAGGGACGCGGUACCUGUAUAAGAAGCACCGGCUAACUACGUACCAGCAGCCGCGGUAAUAC